GAGGAGGUAGUGGAGACAGAGGGAGGAGGAGGUAGUUAAGACAGUGGGAGGAGGAGGUAGUGGUGACAGAGGGAGGAGGUAGUGGAGACAGAGGGAGGAGGAAGUAGAGACAGAUGGAGGAGGAGGUAGUGGAGACAGAGGGAGGAGGAUGUAGAGACAUAGGGAGGAGGAUGUAGAGAGAGACAGAGGUAGGAGGAGGUGGUGGAGACAGAGGUAGGAGGAGGUAGUGGAGACAGAGGGAGGAGGAUGUAGUAGAGACAGAGGGAGGAGGAUGUAGUAGAGACAGAGGGAGGAGGAGAUAGUAGAGACAGAGGGAGGAGGUAGUGGAGACAGAAGGAGGAGGAGGUAGUAGAGACAGAGGGAGGAGGAGGUAGUGGAGACAGUGGGAGGAGGAGGUAGUGGAGACAGAGGGAGGAGGUAGUGGAGACAGAGGGAGGAGGAGGUAGUGGAGACAGUGGGAGGAGGAGGUAGUGGUGACAGAGGGAGGAGGUAGUGGAGACAGAGGGAGGAGGUAGUAGAGACAGAGGGAGGAGGAGGUAGUAGUGGUUCCGAGGGAGGAGGUAGUAGUGGAGACAGAGGGAGGAGGUAGUAGUGGAGAUUAGGAAGAUGCCAGAAAAGAGGGAAGGGGGAGAUGGCAGAUUGAACGAGGGAGGAGGUUAGGGAAGAGAAGCCAUACCUCGAUAUUCCCUCCAUCCUUUUAAUAUUUAAUGAGGAGAGAUUUCAUCCAGUUGAGAGAGUAGAGAGGAAUGGGAUUUAUCAUCUAAAACAUGGAGGGGGGAGGCUCAGGAUGGGAAGCGGGGAAGUCAGAGGGGGCUUCCCCCCC
ensembl:lncRNA